rnacentral:rRNA from 1 species
AUGAGCGGCCACCACGACGCCAGCAAGCCCUACCAGCCCCGCCGGGGCCCGGAGCGCCCCCCGCCGCAGCAGCCGGCGGAGGACGAGGAGGCUGCCGCGGCUGCGGCGGCGAUGGCCGAGGUCGAGGCCGCGGCGGGGGCGAUGGAGCAGUACGAGCCGCAUCUGGAGCACGGGGAGGAGGAGGAGGAAGAGGAGGAGGGGGAGGAAGAGGGGGAGGAGGAGGGAGAGGAAGGGCAUGGGUACGCGUACGAUUAUGUUACCGGAGAGGCCGUCCCGAUGGACGAGGAAGGCGCUGCGGCCGCGGCGCACGCCCACCACGGGGCGGCGGGGCCGCACGGCAUGGAGGCGGGCGGCGCACCGCAAGCCCCGUCGAACACGCUCACGCUCUCUUUCCAGGGCGAGGUGUUCGUCUUCGAGUCUGUGUCCGCCGAGAAGGUGCAAGCGGUUCUCUUAUUGCUUGGAGGAAGGGAGCUCGGCCCGGGUAUGGGCGUGGGGCCGUCGUCUUCAGCAUCAUACAGUAAGAGGUUGAAUUCACAUCGGAUGGCAUCGCUGAUGAGGUUCCGCGAAAAGCGCAAGGAAAGGAACUUCGAUAAGAAGAUCCGCUAUUCUGUUAGGAAGGAAGUUGCACAUAGGAUGCAGCGCCAUAAAGGUCAGUUCACAUCAUCAAAAGCAAAGGCCGAAGAAGCCGCAGCUGCGGCUAAUUCAGAUUGGGGUGCAGUGGAAGGUCGACCUCUUUCUGCGCCUGUAUGCCAGCAUUGUGGUAUUAGUUCUAACAAUACACCUAUGAUGCGUCGAGGACCGGAUGGACCAAGGACUCUGUGCAAUGCAUGUGGACUCGCGUGGGCAAACAAGGGUAUGAUGAGAGAGGUCAAAGGUCAUACACCUUUGAAAGUUGUGCCGCCAGCAACCGAUGACGCUCAGAAUGGAGUUGCUGAAGCACCCACUGCUGAGCAGCAACAUCUCGCACUAGAAGCUGCACCAGAAGCACCAGUAGCUCCUGCUCCUGCUGCCAAUGGCCAUGAUUCAUAG